AUAGUGUUUAUUUCAAGUGUCCAAUGAUAUAAACAGACUCCCGCCAAAAAUUGCUUAAUUUACUUUGAAGAGGUCUCUACUUCUUCUCUCUCUUGCUCCUCCACCCUAACAAAGAAAACCCAAGACAAGCGCCUUCUCCAUCAGUGCGUCUGGCUGCACCUCCGCCGAGAUCGGAAAGCUGGCGACCCCCUCUAUCAGUCGGUUGUCUCCGUUUUUGGUGGCUUCUAUCCUUUGCUCCUCUCCUCCCCACUCUUUUACCCUUCGGAUAUAUGAGGGAUGUCACGGCGCCGUUGUCAGCAUCUCAGCAGCAGUCAGGGUGUCGGUUUCUCCAAGUCGGUCGUCCUUUGAACUCCUUUGCAUGGUAGUCGAUUGCAUUAGUCAGGCGUGGGUCAAGGCGCCCCUUCAUGGUGCUCCUCCAUGGCACAGGUCACGAAGCUUCACCGUCUUAGCUCGUCUUGAUCUAUGGUGUCCCUUCGCAAAGACAUUCCCAGUGGGCUUCUUAGUCUCGGUCUAGGUAGUGACUCAACCUUCCUAGCCACUCACUGAUGGUUGUCUUGGAGUUAGAGGCUGUCUAUGUCGUCUCAGCACUAAGACCUAAGGCAGCGAUUGUGUUCACUGGAUGUCGUAGAGGCCCUCCUCCUCCUCUUUGUUUCCGGCAGUGCAAAAAGGUGUCUCCUAAUAGAGCAGUCUCUCGUUCCCUGCCGGGGUCACCCCUUCUCCUUCUCCGAGUAGAUCUGAAGCAGAGAGAGAAGUCAACCUUCAAUUUCGGGUAGUCGGCGACUGUGGCGAAGUACCCGCUACCCUGACCAGGCUGGGCUGACCCGAUUUGCCAAGACCCGACCUUAGCCGAACCGACUACCUUCCCUGACCCCACAGACCUGACAGACUACUCCUCGAUUUGCAAGGCAACGGUGGCGUCCUCCCUGCCUAUCCAACUUUGUUCGAUACCCCACUUCCCCCAGACGGCGGCUUCUACUCUGCGGACACCCGCCCUCGCCCACACGAUGAAAUCCCCGUCCUCCACUACAAGGAUCUUACUCCUGGGCCAAUCAAUUGUACCAACCGCCUGCAAAUCCGAUUUUUUGUGAUUUCGUCUUCUUUUGUUGGUUUUUGCAAGUUUUGGCUCCCUAAUGAUAUUCGCUGGUUUGAAUCGAUCAAAGAAGCUAGGUAUUCUGAUUUGAUGGUCUGGCUGGUUUUUGAUUAGUUAGGAUACCGUUGGUUUGAACUGAUCAUAGAAACCUGACUGAAUUGAUUUGACUGUCUAGGGUUGGGCCGUUUAGGAAUCGGUUCAUUGUAUUAGUCUAGAGGUGUGAUAUAUAAAGGGCUCCUGUGUCGAGUAUCGGUUGAAGAUUUCUCUUGGCUCUGCAUAUUUGUUUCCACAGUAGAAGCAAUUUCUAUAAGGAUUGCGUUAUGCUAUACUUUUCGGUUUUCACUAGGAUCCUUAUAGAGUGUAGUCUCAAGAGGUUGAGAACGGAUUAUAACAACGGAUUUCUACAAUUGUAUCUAGGUGAAUUUGCUGUAUUCUCUGUAAUUUGCACUCUUGGACAUUUUCCCCUUGUACCCGUUUUUGUCAUCAAUGGAAGGUCAUUGAUUAGAUGGGGAAAAAAAAAAAAAAGGACUCCCGCCACGAAGGAACGGAAGAGAGUUGAAUCGUAGAAGGGCAAUAUAAUAUAUGUUAGAUGCAAUUCUCAUUUUUGAUAGAGUUGGGGUCGGGAUCACUUUGUUUUCAUGUGUACAGGAAUUACCUUUCUCAUUGAAUUCUUCAUCGAGGAGGGCUCUACGAUCUUUCAUAUCUAUAAUUUUCCUUAUGAUAUACAACUGAAUGCUUUUAAUGGAAACAAAUCGAAAGAAUGAAAGAAUAGCACCGGUGAUCUACCAAGUUAAAUAAGAAUCAACCAAUUGGUCUCAACUUCUCGAGGACAACCGAAAAGAAUCGAUGAAGUCUAGAGCAGAUGGUGAUUCUCGUGCGGUUGCAUGGGGCGCUGCUGUGACAAACUCGAGAAUGGGUCCCCGAAAGGGUUCGAGGGGCCCAUCUGGGGGGGCAACGGUUGAGACCCGUAAGGGGACUGUUGAGACCCAUAUGGAGACUGUUGAUAAUACGGUUGUUGCUGUUGGGCUCCGUAUGGGACCAUCAUCAUAUUCUGUUGUUCGUGUGCGUAUUGCUGCUGUUGGAACAUCAUUUGCUGCUGCUGCUGGGCCAUUAGGGCCAUCUGCACAUUUGAUGGGGCGGCUAUGUUUUUACACGCCAUGAAGGGGUCAGGCUGAUCAAAUGGAUUCGGCGCUUGGGCUGCUGCAGUGGCACCGGGUCCAUACCCUGCGCUCUGCAUCUGUAUCUGCCUCCUUGCAGCCUCGUCCUCGUAUAGGCUAUCAAGUAAUAGCUUGUCGAACCCACCGGCCUAAGCCAAGAGAAAUUGAAUCAAACAAAAAAAGAUGUUACUGCAA